UACGAAGGGUGCAAGCGUUACUCGGAAUUACUGGGCGUAAAGCGUGCGUAGGCGGUUUGUUAAGUCCGUUGUGAAAGCCCUGGGCUUAACCCGGAAAGGUCAGCCGAUACUGCGGGGCUAGAGUGCAGAAGGGGCAACUGGAAUUCUCGGUGUAGCGGUGAAAUGCGUAGAUAUCGAGAGGAACACCUGCGGCGAAGGCGGGUUGCUGGGCUGACACUGACGCUGAGGCGCGAAAGCUAGGGGAGCGAACGGG
rnacentral:rRNA from 1 species